AUACGUAGGGGGCGAGCGUUGUCCGGAAUGAUUGGGCGUAAAGGGCGCGUAGGCGGCCCGGUAAGUCUGGAGUGAAAGUCCUGUUUUUAAGAUGGGAAUUGCUUUGGAUACUGUCGGGCUUGAGUGCAGGAGAGGUAAGUGGAAUUCCCAGUGUAGCGGUGAAAUGCGUAGAGAUUGGGAGGAACACCAGUGGCGAAGGCGACUUACUGGACUGUAACUGACGCUGAGGCGCGAAAGUGUGGGGAGCAAACAGGAUUAGAUACCCUGGUAGUCCACACUGUAAACGAUGAAUGCUAGGUGUAGGGGGUAUCGACCCCUUCCGUGCCGCAGUUAACACAAUAAGUAAUCCACCUGGGGAGUACGGCCGCAAGGUUGAAACUCAAAGGAAUUGACGGGG
rnacentral:rRNA from 1 species